GUAAUCUAAAGUCGCGUGGCAUGUCAUCCGUAAGAUACCUGUAGAGACGAGCUUCUGAUAUUUACAAUUCUACAAAAGCCCGGAUCUACAGGGUAGAUCACGAAUGUGCCUAUCUUAUGCUCCCAACCUUUUCGGCCAUUGUCUCCUCUAGGUAGCGAGAUCUGUAACAGAGAAGCCCAGUUUUUAUUCAAACGUCGAAAGAGGAGGAUAGGGUUAGGUUUAGGUUAGAAGGCUGAUUUCCAUGAAUCGCGGUAAUCGAUAGCAAACACGGUGUUGCCCAUCGUUAAAUAGCACUCUGAAAAUUGUACAUCGUAUCCAGUCAUUAAAUUACCAUUCACUGCCACAGGAACAGUUAUCCUCGAGAUUGAAUACGAAUCGAGCAAUGGUUGCGAUAACCAAGCGAUAGUAAUCGCGAAUUAAUUACAUGAUACCGAUUGCAAAGUGAUCAAGCGUGCAACGACACGUAGCUACGUAUGAAUAACCGUAUGAGCAUGACUAUAUAAAGCCGGCAGGGAUUAGAAAUUUCGUCCCGACUACCGAACCGUACGUGACGCCGGAAAACCUUCACUAAAAUCGGACGUGACAUCGCAUGCAUAUCCGGAAUACGACAGAAGGAAGUCGAUGUAUUAUGGUAUUGACAAUAAUCACUUAGUUACUAACCUAAUAGUACAAACGUUGAUCGGCAAAUAGAGGGCCAAUGGUCGUGUUUCCUCCUCCAUUAAUUUCCAGAGACGUGAAAAUAGAACAUUAACAAGAGAUCGGAAUUGAAUUGGUGGAAUCAGAGUGGAAGAAACAGAGUGAUAGCAGAACACGAAUCAGAAUAAUCAGUGACUAACCAUUGGAAAAUAAGAGGACACAAAAUAUUACAUGCUUUUGAUGGUUCGCGCGAGCAACAGGCGAGGCAAUCAGCUCGCGUGUAACGCAGCUGUUCAACGACCGAUUAAAGUGCAUAAGCCAAAGACCUAGAAAGACUAGAUUUCACGAAAUUCUAACGAGCGACAAUGAGACAGGCAGGCGUGCGAUCCUUCGCGUUCGCAGAAUCGAGGUCAAAGUAUCGACAUGCUGGGAAUACUAUUAGAAAAGUGAAACCAUGAAAACGGACAACACGAUCGCUGUAGCAAACCCUGGCUCACAAUAGCGAAGCAAUUCGCGCGUUUUCCAGCGUGUAAAGAGCGCGCGAGUGGAAGCGCGGAAGGGCCAACGCCCUUCGAAACGAAACGCAGCGGCCGACUGUCCUUUUUGGCCCCGAGCGGAGAAGGCAUUCGGCGACAAGCGCGAAUCCUCGAGUCGCGGGGCGUCUCUCCCACGGUUGCCCGGCCGAAGCCAGGGGCAUCCCCCGGAUUCUGCGAUGAUUGGACCGCGCGCACCCUCGCCCCACUCGCGGCGAGGGGGAUGCCACCGCACAGGGCCGUGGCCAGCAAACCAGGUGCCACAGGCAAAACCCCCGAAAUCAGUAUUGAUAUCGCAUUAUUCGACGCGCGCCCAACGUUUUUUCCCCCUGUGACGCGGAUGUUACCGUGCGACUGGAAACGUUUGCUAGAGGCUGGAUGGCUGUUGGAAAAAUGGGGUGGGAUCAUUUGUGGGUGGGGGUAAUUGGCUAGGGCAGAUGAUCGCUUGAUUGUUGAGAGUAAAAGGGACAAAUGAGACCUGAAAUGUAAUGGAUAAUGUUAGCUAUAAGUUUCAUUUGGCCUAGUACGAGAGAUGAGAUUAAAAUAGAUGAUGUUUAGGUACUAGAAACAGAGCAUUUUGUUUCAUGAACAGCAUGUACAUAGGUUUGGAUGUUCGAAGAGAGGACCAGUUCAGGUGUUUUAUUGUGAAUCGUUCACGGGGAAUGUGUAUGAGAAAAAUGUAAUGUUGUGAAGAGGAUAGCCUCAGAUGUUUGAAGAGAGAUGCAGGUUUGCGCAUCUUGUUACCAUACAGUUAUAAUUUAUUCGGUGUGCAAUUAAAAUGAGCCAUGGUUUCACAACCGUAUGAUAGUCAAUUUUAUUUUAUAAAGAGAAUGUAAGUCUAGAUAUCUGAUGAAAGUAUAUGUUUCAGGUUUACGGUUGUAUGGAACAGGAUCAGAGGUUGUAUCGAGCGUUAAAGUGGAAAUUUUUGGAAAAUGAAAAUUGAACGUUGCAUGGAUAUGUAAUUAAGAGUCAGCUGGUAUCGUGUAACGAUUAGGUGUACAGAAUUUCUCCUAUGAAAUUCAUGCAUUGUAUACGUGUGGCGUGAAGCAAGCUUAUGUGGCUCUGUAUUAAGAGAAAGGGACGCAGAACAAUUUUAUCGUUUACAUGAUAAAUUGGCAUCGGGGUACACUCGUAUGUCAUCGGCAUUGCUAAACCAUUGAGUUUCUCCGAACCGAGUGCUUGUCCUUUAUUCGCAAAUUUUACUCCAUUAUUCCAUUUCCCCUUGCAAUAUUUAGAUAUAUUAAGUUGUGACCUAUGGAAUGUCUGAUUUGCACUGAUUCAUAUCUCCAUGAAUCUUGAAAAGGAUUCGUUUACACAUGUAAACAUUUAAAAAAUUAAUAUCACAUAAGAAAUAGAAGAUCUUCAACAUUAAAAUGACGCAUAAUGAUACAUUCACAAAGAUAAAAAUAUUCAUAUGUUUAAUAGGAAGAUUCACUAAAUUGGUACAGCAAAAUUGAACGUUUCAUACACAAUGUUACAAUUUCUGCUCUUCUAAUUAAUAAAACUAAUUAAUAAAAUAAUUAUAGAAAAAUGUAGUAUGUAGAAGAAAUAUUUAUACAAAUUCGUAUUUGCCCUGAUUCUUGUAUCAAUUGCAGUUAACAAAACCGACAUACGGAAAUCAUACAACGAGCACGACUACGAAAAGAAAAAGAAAGGAAGCAGAGGGAAGAAAGAAGUUGUAAGAAGUGGAAAGCAUGGAAGAACGACGUAAGAGAAUUUCUCGAAAGUUGUAUCCAGUUAACGCUCGUGCGGAGCAUAAUCACGAGUGGAUACAGCCCUGAGGUCGUUUCAGCUCGGUGGAGAUCGUGCAGCCUCGGCUUCGAAUCCCUGUCAACCGGAUCACAGGCGAAAGGGAGAGGGUAAAAGGCAGGGGCCACCCUUCGUCUCAUCAUCUUUUCGCGCUCAUAGCCGGGCAUAUCUGCUCGGAGCCAGGCCUGUGCUCUCCUCUUCUCGGAGGAAUCGCCUGGAAAAGCUCCGUUUUCCCUCGACCUACCCUCUCCACCCUCGUGUCGCCACCCCCCACCCUCGCCAACAAAGUCUCCCAAUAACGUUAGCCUGCUCCGUUCCUUCUCCGUUCUGGAGCGACGUAUUGAUCGUCUCUCUGCUCUCCUAAAGCCGCGACCGGAGGAGCCUGACAUCCGCUGAGGGAAACGAAGAAUGGAGAGAAAACGCAUCUUCGGAGAGAGAGAGAAAGAGAGAGAGAUGUGAGGGGGUGGCUUCGAUGAAACUGGCUCUGUACAGGCGUAUCUUUGUCGAAACUGCCAGCAGGGAAAAAAUAGAGGACCCACACUGCCAAUGGAAACGGUCACGUCGUCAAGUGGUGCGCGUGCAAAAAGACCAAGGCCAUCUGAUGGUCCGAGGGUGGCAGAGAGGAUAGUUCACCAACAGGAGGAAGAAUUUGAGGUUCGAUUAAAGCGGAAAGUAUGGAACUCUGCUGGGAUUGCAAGCAGAAGAAAUUUCUUCAGAAGAAAUUUCAACAGAGAUCUGGAAAUGAUUAUCUCAUUGAGGAGCAGCGCUCUGUUGAUACAUUUUUAUUUUCAAUCGAUUUAGAUUAACUUUUUCCUUGCUUCAAUGCUGUGGGUAUAAAAGAGAAUUGCGAGAGUUCGUUUAACAUCUGUUCAGUUGUUAUUUCCUUCGACUAGAUUCUACUGUUUUAGGAAAUUUAUAUAUAUUUUCGUUCGCUUGAUCUCUGCACUCUUCUAAUUAUACGUUAAACACGUUAAAACACGAGAAUUCUCUUUUAUUUCGCAAAAUGGAAGCAAGAUUGAAGUAUAAAAAUUGGAAAAAUGGACUACCAGAAUGAAAAAUGUAUAGAUAAAGGUUAAAAUGGCAGGAAAAAUAACGUUCUAAUGGUUUCUAGUAGCCUGGUAUGAAAAAUAGAAAAGAAUUGCCGAAACGAUGUUAAAUUCAGGCAAAGUAAUUUCCAGCAAUCGAUAUCCAUCAUCAACUUAAACUCUUUUAUCGGAUGAUCUCCAUUAACCUUCUAAUUAACACUGACUACCUUCCAUAAAUCACCCUGCAAGCUUUUCCAUCAUCGUACCUACUCGAAUGAAAAUAAAAAUGUUACCUGCUACAUGGCGACACGAUACCAUACUAUAAAUACAGUGGUAGACAGUGUGAAUUGUCACAAAUAUUCGACGGAUGGCGAAAAACAAGUGGCCGGGAACACGAAAGCCGAUAAGCCUUGGGACGACUUAACUCGAUAAAUCGGCGACACGUCGUUCGCCACGGCGUAACUUCAUCCUCGUAUCAUACGUCACUCAACCAACAUUCUGCCUGUCGUCCUCUACUCACGUGCAAUACGUCUUCUGCGAGUUUACCCACGUAUCGUUGCUUGUGAGGCCUCCGUGACGAAGCUUCUCUCUUCUUCUCUUCCUAACUUCUUCCUUGCACACCGGAAACAUCGAACACACAUCUUUUUUAUCUUCACAUUGUUCCAUCGUAUUUGUUGGUCUUUUGACGAAGAGAAAAGCGUCUUCUGAAAUAUGACGAGUAGAACACGUCUUCUUUACUUUCCACGCAACAAGAAUUAACGAUUACAAUGUUCCUAUGUAUUUGGUUUAUAACACCCAGUUAUAUUCGUCACAUGGAUUGUAGUUUUCAUUCCAUAAAGAUAAAAUGAAUUUGUAGCAAAAUUUACUUUGAAUUCUAUUAUAUAUUAGAUUUUUGAAAUAAGAGAAUAAACAGCCAGUGGAAUAUCAAAACAAUAUAGAAAUUGAAGGAUUGAGUCUUCUGUUGUUUGUAAGUAACUUCACAUUUGUAGCUAAUUUUAAAACGUUUCAAACUAAAUAACUAAUUCCACAAAGAUAAAACGUAUUUGUAGCAAAGUUUACUUUGAAUUCUAUUACAUAUUAGAUUUUUGAAAUAAGAGAAUAAACAGCCAGUGAAAUAACAAAACAACAGAGAAAUUGAAAGAUUGAGUCUUCUGUUGUUUGUAAGUAACUUCACGUUUGUAGCUAAUUUUAAAACGUUUCAAACUAAAUAACUAAUUCCACAAAGAUAAAACGUAUUUAUAACAAAGUUUACUUUGAAUUCUAUUACAUAUUAGAUUUUUGAAAUAAGAGAAUAAACAGCCAGUGUUUAGUGAAAUAACAAAACAACAUAGAAAUUGAAGGAUUGAGUCUUCUGUUGUUUGUAAGUAACUUCACGUUUAUAGCUAAUCUUAAAACGUUUCAAACUAAAUAACUAAUUCCACAAAGACAAAAUGUAUUUGUAGCAAAGUUUACUUUGAAUUCUAUUAUAUAUUAGAUUUUUGAAAUAAGAGAAUAAACAGCCAGUGGAAUAUUAAAACAACAGAGAAAUUGAAGGAUUGAUGAUUCUUCUGUUGUUUAUAAGUAACUUCACGUUUGUAGCUAAUUUUAAAACGUUUCAAGCUAAAUAACUAAUUCCACAAAGACAAAAUAUACUUGUAACAAAGUUUACUUUGAAUUCUAUUAUAUAUUCCAUUUUUUAGAUAAGAGAGUAAACAGCCAGUGUUUAGUGAAAUAUCAAUGAACAAUACAAAAGGUGAAGAAUUAAGUCUCAAGUCAUCUGUUGUGUCUGUAAGUAACUUGUACCAAUAAAAGUAAUUAUCAUGGUGUACUUUAUCUAACAAACUUCAUGAAAAAUGAGUACAUAUAUUCUAAGAUACAAGUAAAAGUAAAUAAAAUCUGGAAUCUAAUUUUGGUAAAGUUUGGUACAAAGAAGAUGAAGAAAUCCAAGGACACACUUGACACCUAAUUGGAAGGAUUAAAUACAACAAUUCUUUGGACUUGAAAAUAAUUUUAAGUAGACCUUGCAAAGCACGGUAUUAAUUACUAAAGUACAAUCUAUUUGAUAGAAACCUUACAUUCAUUGUAUCUAUAUUCGAAAUGGAAUGGAAAAAGUAACAAAGCAAUUUUCGGCCGCCAUGUUUCAGCGAUGGCAGAGAAGAAACGUUAGCGCUCGGGUAGUGGAUGCAUCAUACAUUAAACGCGGCUUCGUUGAAAUUACGAUCGGUUUAUGACCAACAAAAAUAUGUAGAACGAACGCACGUAGCACAGGGAAAAUGUAUCCCAAGCAGGGUCUCCCGCUCCCAGACGUCGUUUACGACCGACCCGUAUCCGUGGUUAACACAGCGACUACAUAUUUAUUGAUUAAUUCACGCCAACUCAUCAGCAUACAGCGCAAUUUCGACGUGGCCGACAAAUAGCGGAGGAUGUUUCGUAGCAUGAAAAGCCGAGGACAAAGAUCGAUAGCGUGCGUUCUGUCUGAGAAAAAUAACAUUUAUUUUGCUUGCAAUAUACGUCAGUGAUUAGGGCAACUAUAGGAUAAUCGCUUAUAGACAAAAAUUAGUUAUGCAAUUUUGUUGAAGAUAUUCGAAUUUUGUAUAUGAAAUUUGAUAGAGUUAGUCAUAAAAUGUUAGUCCUUUAAGGUAUGAGAAAAUUAAGAAGCAAAUUGUCCUUACCUUAUCAAUUCUACAGCACUAUAUAAAAUAGAAAUAUCGAAUUUUAGAAUUGUUCACUAAUUAUCUGAAUUCUAUAAUUGUCUUAAAAGAAAUUUAAUUCGGUAAAAAUGAUACCUAUAGAAUAUUAGAAUUACCUAAGAGGUGAAAGAACUUGAAAGUGAAUUCUCUUAAAGGAUUCUUCUCUGUUAGAUAUUUUGAAAAAAUAUUACAAACUGUACGAGAAAUAUUCUAAAGUAAAAUUUACCUGUCAUCAAAGAUUUUCGCAAUUUUCUUCUUUCCAAGGUCCUGCGUAUCAACCCCAUGGAAAUUUUUCUUGGAAGACUCUCCGACAGACUAUGGCAACGCUGUUCGCUACCGAAUUCCAUUUUCUGUCACGAAGAAAUCUUCGAAUUUGAUCAACGAUUACGUAGAUACAGGAAGAGAGAAGAAGGUCGUGCACGCUAUUUCCGUCGAUCUUCGCUCAAACACACGAUGCUUGCAAGAGGUGCUGUCUUCGACUGGCAUCGAGUAUCGUAUAUCGUGGAAUGCUUCAAGAAGGAAGGAACGUCCGGGCUCCGUGUGUUGAAUAAUAAAUCCCGAUCGCCGGUCGAUUUCCUUUUCCAUACACCGACCAACACCGCGAUUCGCAUUCGUGGCUCGCUGCCCUUUUGAAUCUCGGAUCGAGUACGCCAUAAAAGAAUCGGCUCGCUUCCCGUCGCCUGUGUUCUUCGCGAUCGAUGGGUCCGUUGCAUGGAUGGAUUAUGUCAUCCACGGCAUUUCGAUCCACUAUGGAAUCUUCCUGUUGAUCGACGAUCAAAAGGGAGUGGCCUGGAAAUUUCAGAGAACAAUCUGUUAAAUUAUUUAUUUGGCAGUUUAGGUGGAUGAAUUGUAGGAGUAGCAUAUGCUCAGAGUACGCCAGAUCUCGAUUUAUAGGUGAAGUAGUGUUUUGAAAUAUUCAUUUAGUCUACGAUGAAUUUUGGCAGUGAGAUAUGUGAAGAAUUUUCUAUGCUUUGUCGUGUAUAGAUGAAAUUGCUUUUUGCAAUUGUGAUUGACAGAGAAGCUUCUGGACUUGGAGUAAUUUCAUCUUAUUUCUUGUAUUUGAAAUGGUGGAAUUAUAUGACUGAAAGAGUAGGGUGUAUAGGAUAGAAAGUUUGAAUAAAAUACAGUUUAUAAAGUGAUGCCAGCUACUUUAAAAUGUAACUGUUACUUUGCCUAGAACUCUGCAAUAUUAAAAAGAAAGGAAGAGAAAGGAAGGGAUAAUUGUAUUACCUAUAAAGUUGCCUUUUGCGGUUGUGAUUGACAGAGAAGCUUCUGGACUUGGAGUAAUUUCAUCUUAUUUCUUUAUAUAUUUAAAUGGUAGAUUAUAUUUAAAAUGGUGGAAUUAUAUGAUUGAAAGAGUAGGCUGUAUAGGAUAGAAAGUUUGAAUAAAAUACAGUUUAUAAAGUGAUGCCAGCUACUUUAAAAUGUAACUGUUACUUUGCCUAGAACUCUGCAAUAUUAAAAAGAAAGGAAGAGAAAGGAAGGGAUAAUUGUAUUACCUGGAAGUUUUCUUUCAACAUGAAGUUACUGAAAAAUAAUUUCCAUAUAUUUCUAAUAUUUGUCUUUUGAUAUGUUUCUAUGCUUAAGAAUUUUCUAUGCUUUGUCGUGUAUAGAUGAAAUUGCUUUUUGCAGUUGUGAUUGACAGAGAAGCUUCUGGAGUUGGAGUAAUUUCAUCUUAUUUCUUGUAUUUAAAAUGGUGGAAUUAUAUGAUUGAAAGAGUAGGGUGUAUAGGAUAGAAAGUUUGAAUAAAACAGAGUUUAUAAAGUGAUACCUUAAAAUGUAACUGUUUGAGUAGAACUCUGCAAUAUUAAAAAGAAAGGAAGAGAAAUGAAGCGAAUAAGCAUUAACUGUAAGUUUUCUUUUAACAUGAAGUUACUAUAAUAUUGUCUUCUAAUAUUACAAUAAUCAAAUUCAGAAUUAAGAUACAACUGGCAGGAACAUCCCUGAAAAUGUACUCAUAGCCAACUAAGACAAACAAUUUUUAAAUUUAAGAAGAAAAAUUUCAUAACAAAAGGCGUAGAUGUAUGAAAGAAAGAAGAAGAAGGAAGAUUGCUGAAAUAUUGAAAGAACAGACACUUUAUUCGGUUCACGGCAAAAAUUCCCUGAAACUCCAUAAUAAACGUGCAACGCCCUAAAACGCGAUAUCCAGACGGAAAAGGAGAAAUCGAGCUCUCAGCCGAUAAUUUAACGGAGCAAACAAAUUGCACGCGGGCAGCUUCGAAUAAAACACAAGUCGGUUGCAGCGGAAGCUUAAACGACUGGGCUAAUGUUAUUGAGAUGAAUCCGAAAGCCAGAUGGGCGGGUUAGAAUCCCCCUCCACUGCAGACAAGGAAUCGCGAUGCCGGGCAUUUCCAAGCAAAAUUUUACCUUCCACUCUGGUCGUUCUAUUCGUUUGAAAAAUGCCCUCCGUCGAGAAUUCAAUUGCGCCUCUGCAAACGUACAUUAUACUAACUGCAGCCUGAUUAACCACGUCCUUAUCGAUGUUUUCAUUCGACAAUUCUUAAGACACCGAUAGAUAGACAUCUUCAAACGAGCAUACCUAUAUCGUUUAUAAUGAUUGGAAAAUGUAUUUGCAUAUCAUAAUAUAUUUAGUAUUGAUAUUAAUAUUAUAUUAGGAUUUUUAUUAGUAUCUAUUUAUUAUAAUUAGCAUGUAUUACAGUAUUUAUAUCAGUAUUUAUUAUAACAUUUUAUAACGUACUGAUUAAUUAACAGG